CAGACGUAUGCAGAAGUCUCUCUCUUCCAGGUACCAGCUACCAGCUCCUUAUCUCCGUGAAGGAAGGCAGACUUGAAACCGAACGACAGAGGGGGGAGCAACUGCCCUAUAGCCCGGCAGGUCUUCAAGUCUGUGGCUGUGGGCAGCAACCCAGCCAAGGAAAGGGAAGCCCUGCAGCACCAGUGCAGCACAUUCCUUUAAUGGUAGGAAGACACACCCUUGACGUUUCUUGAAAGGUUGGUCCAUGUAAGAAGUGUGUAGGGAAAGGAAUCUAAGGACAGGCAACAAAGAAAAAUUGCAACAUGGAAAAGUUCUACAAAGAAAAUGAAGGAAAGCCAGAAAACAAGGGAAGGGCAGAAGAUGAAGGAAGUACAGAAGAGGGAGGAAAAGCAGAUGAAGACAAGUCAGAUACAGAGGGGAAACCAGCGCGCCAGGGCAAGCUAGAGGAGGAGGGAGGGCCAGGUGAGCAGGCACAACAGAAAGGUGAGGGGAA
rnacentral:lncRNA from 1 species